UACGUAGGGUGCAAGCGUUAAUCGGAAUUACUGGGCGUAAAGCGUGCGCAGGCGGUUUUGUAAGUCUGUCGUGAAAUCCCCGGGCUCAACCUGGGAAUUGCGAUGGAGACUGCAAGGCUAGAAUCUGGCAGAGGGGGGUAGAAUUCCACGUGUAGCAGUGAAAUGCGUAGAUAUGCGGAGGAACACCGAUGGCGAAGGCAACUCCCGUGGACUGCACUGACGGCUACAU
rnacentral:rRNA from 1 species